rnacentral:SRP_RNA from 1 species
GCUGGGCAUGGUGGCGCAUGCCUGUAAUUCCAGCUACUCAGGAGGCUGAAGCAGGAGAAUCGCUUGAACCCAGGAGGUGGAGGUUGCAGUGAGCCGAGAUCGUGCCACUGCACUCCAGCCUGGGCAACAGAGCGAGACUCUGUCUCAA